UCAGGANGAACGUUGGCGGCGCGCUUAAUGCAUGCAAGUCGAGCGAGGGAAUUUUCUUCGGAAAAUAUACCUAGCGGCAGACGGCUGAGUAACGCGUGAGUARUCUGCCUUKMAGAGGGGAACRACUGUGASAAAUCACAGCUAAUUCCSCGUAAUGUCUAAUGKCUCAAGAUAUUAGAAGAAAGGAUCAKGGUAACCUGGUUCGCUUUUAGAUGAGCUUGCRUCCUAUCAGGUAGYUGGUCGGGUAAUUGCCKACCMWSCCGAWRACKGSUAACUGAUGYGAKAGCMUGRRCAGUCMGASGGGGACUGAGACACKGCCCCCACUCCUACKGGAGGCASCWKYMKGGAAUCUUGCACAAUGGGCSAAAGCCUGAUGCAGCGACGCCGCGUGAGGGAUGAAGGCUUUAGAGUUGUAAACCUCUUUUCUUAGGGAAGAGCAAGGACGGUACCUAAGGAAUAAGUCACGGCUAACUACGUGCCAGCAGCCGCGGUAAUACGUAGGUGGCAAACGUUAUUCGGAAUUAUUGGGCGUAAAGGGUCCGUAGGCGGCUCAACAAGUCUCAUGUGAAAUCUCUUGGCUCAACCAAGAAAGGUCAUGAGAAACUGUUGGGCUAGAGAUCAUUAGAGGGAGAUGGAAUUCCAGGUGUAGUGGUGAAAUGCGUAGAUAUCUGGAGGAACAUCAAUGGCGAAAGCAGUCUCCUAGGAUGAUUCUGACGCUCAGGGACGAAAGCGUGGGUAGCAAACCGGAUUAGAUACCCGGGUAGUCCACGCCCUAAACGAUGAAUGCUAGGUUUAUGGGGGCUCGCCCCUUGUGANCCGCAGCUAACGCAUUAA
rnacentral:rRNA from 1 species